rnacentral:rRNA from 1 species
CCCUUAGACGUUCUGGGCCGCACGCGCGCUACACUGACCAGUGCAACAAGCAUCCGUCCUUGGCCGACAGGCUCGGGCAAUCUUUGAACGCUGGUCGUGAUGGGGAUAGACUUUUGCAAUUUUUGGUCUUCAACGAGGAAUUCCUAGUAAACGCAAGUCAUCAACUUGCAUUGAUUACGUCCCUGCCCUUUGUACACACCGCCCGUCGCACCUACCGAUUGAAUGGUCCGGUGAAGCCUCCGGAUUGGCGCGCACCUUGGUGCCGCCGAGAAGUUGGCUAAACCUUACCAUUUAGAGGAAGGUGAAGUCGUAACA